rnacentral:rRNA from 1 species
UUAGAGUUUGAUCCUGGCUCAGAUUCUACGCUGGCGGCAGGCCUAACACAUGCAAGUCGAGCGGAUGAGUGGAGCUUGCUCCAUGAUUCAGCGGCGGACGGGUGAGUAAUGCCUAGGAAUCUGCCUGGUAGUGGGGGACAACGUUUCGAAAGGAACGCUAAUACCGCAUACGUCCUACGGGAGAAAGCAGGGGACCUUCGGGCCUUGCGCUAUCAGAUGAGCCUAGGUCGGAUUAGCUAGUAGGUGAGGUAAAGGCUCACCUAGGCGACGAUCCGUAACUGGUCUGAGAGGAUGAUCAGUCACACUGGAACUGAGACACGGUCCAGACUCCUACGGGAGGCAGCAGUGGGGAAUAUUGGACAAUGGGCGAAAGCCUGAUCCAGCCAUGCCGCGUGUGUGAAGAAGGUCUUCGGAUUGUAAAGCACUUUAAGUUGGGAGGAAGGGCAGUAAGUUAAUACCUUGCUGUUUUGACGUUACCAACAGAAUAAGCACCGGCUAACUUCGUGCCAGCAGCCGCGGUAAUACGAAGGGUGCAAGCGUUAAUCGGAAUUACUGGGCGUAAAGCGCGCGUAGGUGGUUCAGCAAGUUGGAGGUGAAAUCCCCGGGCUCAACCUGGGAACUGCCUCCAAAACUACUGAGCUAGAGUACGGUAGAGGGUAGUGGAAUUUCCUGUGUAGCGGUGAAAUGCGUAGAUAUAGGAAGGAACACCAGUGGCGAAGGCGACUACCUGGACUGAUACUGACACUGAGGUGCGAAAGCGUGGGGAGCAAACAGGA